ACUAACAGGAUUCCCCUAGUAACUGCGAGUGAAGCGGGAAAAGCUCAAAUUUAAAAUCUGGUGGUCUUUGGCCGUCCGAGUUGUAAUCUAGAGAAGUAAUGCCCGUGCUGGACCGUGUAUAAGUCUCCUGGGAUGGGGCGUCAUAGAGGGUGAGAAUCCCGUCUUUGACACGGACUACCAGUGCAUUGUGGUAUGCUCUCAAAGAGUCGAGUUGUUUGGGAAUGCAGCUCAAAAUGGGUGGUAAAUUCCAUCUAAAGCUAAAUAUUGGCGAGAGACCGAUAGCGAACAAGUACCGUGAGGGAAAGAUGAAAAGAACUUUGGAAAGAGAGUUAAACAGUACGUGAAAUUGCUGAAAGGGAAACGCUUGAAGUCAGUCGCGUUGGCCAGGGAUCAGCCUUGCUUUUGCAUGGUGUACUUUCUGGUUGACGGGUCAGCAUCAAUUUUGACCGCUGGAAAAGGGCCUGGGGAAUGUGGCAGCUUCGGCUGUGUUAUAGCCCCUGGUCGUAUACGGCGGUUGGGAUUGAGGAACUCAGCACGCCGCAAGGCCGGGUUUUGACCACGUUCGUGCUUAGGAUGCUGGCAUAAUGGCUUUAAGCGACCCGUCUUGAAACACGGACCAAGGAGUCUAACAUGCCUGCGAGUAUUUGGGUGGAAAACCCGAAUGCGUAAUGAAAGUGAAAGUUGAGAUCCCUGUCGUGGGGAGCAUCGACGCCCGGACCAGAACUUUUGGGACGGAUCCGCGGUGGAGCAUGUAUGUUGGGACCCGAAAGAUGGUGAACUAUGCCUGAAUAGGGUGAAGCCAGAGGAAACUCUGGUGGAGGCUCGUAGCGAUUCUGACGUGCAAAUCGAUCGUCAAAUUUGGGUAUAGGGGCGAAAGACUAAUCG
rnacentral:rRNA from 1 species